rnacentral:rRNA from 1 species
CACGUAGGGGGCGAGCGUUAUCCGGAUUCAUUGGGCGUAAAGCGCGCGCAGGCGGCCGCCUAAGCGGGACCUCUAAUCCCGGGGCUCAACCCCGGGCCGGGUCCCGAACUGGGCGGCUCGGGUGCGGUAGAGGAGAGCGGAAUUCCCGGUGUAGCGGUGGAAUGCGCAGAUAUCGGGAAGAACACCGAUGGCGAAGGCAGCUCUCUGGGCCGUCACCGACGCUGAGGCGCGAAAGCUAGGGGAGCGAACA